AGAGUUGUAGUCCUGGCUCAGGAUGAACGCUAGCGACAGGCUUAACACAUGCAAGUCGAGGGCAGCAUAAAAGUAGCAAUACUUGGUGGCGACCGGCGCACGGGUGAGUAACGCGUAUGCAACCUACCUAUCGAGAGGGGAAUAACCCGGCGAAAGUCGGACUAAUACCGCAUAAAACAGGGACACUGCAUGGUGAUAUUUGUUAAAGAAAUUCGCUGAUAGAUGGGCAUGCGUUCCAUUAGGUAGUUGGUGAGGUAACGGCUCACCAAGCCGACGAUGGAUAGGGGAACUGAGAGGUUGGUCCCCCACACUGGUACUGAGACACGGACCAGACUCCUACGGGAGGCAGCAGUGAGGAAUAUUGGUCAAUGGGCGAGAGCCUGAACCAGCCAAGUCGCGUGAAGGAAGAAGGAUCUAUGGUUCGUAAACUUCUUUUGCAGGGGAAUAAAGUGCAGGACGUGUCCUGUUUUGUAUGUACCCUGAGAAUAAGGAUCGGCUAACUCCGUGCCAGCCGCCGC
rnacentral:rRNA from 1 species